AUUGAACGCUGGCGGCAGGCCUAACACAUGCAAGUCGAAUGGUAACAGGAAACAGCUUGCUGUUUCGCUGACGAGUGGCGGACGGGUGAGUAAUGUCUGGGAAACUGCCUGAUGGAUGGGGAUAACUACUGGAAACGGUAGCUAAUACCGCAUAACUUCGCAAGACCAAAGAGGGGGACCUUCGGGCCUCUUGCCAUCAGAUGUGCCCAGAUGGGAUUAGCUAGUAGGUGGGGUAACGGCUCACCUAGGCGACGAUCCCUAGCUGGUCUGAGAGGAUGACCAGCCACACUGGAACUGAGACACGGUCCAGACUCCUACGGGAGGCAGCAGUGGGGAAUAUUGCACAAUGGGCGCAAGCCUGAUGCAGCCAUGCCGCGUGUAUGAAGAAGGCCUUCGGGUUGUAAAGUACUUUCAGCGGGGAGGAAGGGAGUAAAGUUAAUACCUUUGCUCAUUGACGUUACCCGCAGAAGAAGCACCGGCUAACUCCGUG
rnacentral:rRNA from 1 species